UACGUAGGGGGCGAGCGUUGUCCGGAGUUACUGGGCGUAAAGGGCGUGCAGGCGGUGCGGUAAGUUUAGCGUGACAGUCUCCGGCUUAACUGGAGAAGGCCGCUGAAAACUGCUGGACUUGAGGGCCAGAGAGGGACAUAGAAUUCCGGGUGGAGUGGUGAAAUGCGUAGAGUAUCCGGAGGAAUACCAAAGGCGAAGGCAGUGUCCUGGCUGGCAACUGACGGCUGAGGCGCGAAAGCUAGGGGAGCGAACAGG
rnacentral:rRNA from 1 species